UACGGAAGGCAGCAGUGGGGAAUAUUGCACAAUGGGCGCAAGCCUGAUGCAGCCAUGCCGCGUGUAUGAAAAAGGCCUUCGGGUUGUAAAGUACUUUCAGUCGUGAGGAAGGUGUUAAGGUUAAUAACCUUAGCAAUUGACGUUAGCGACAGAAGAAGCACCGGCUAACUCCGUGCCAGCAGCCGCGGUAAUACGGAGGGUGCGAGCGUUAAUCGGAAUUACUGGGCGUAAAGGGCACGCAGGCGGUUAAUUAAGUUGGAUGUGAAAUCCCCGGGCUUAACCUGGGAAUGGCAUUCAAGACUGGUUAGCUAGAGUCUUGUAGAGGGGGUAGAAUUCCAUGUGUAGCGGUGAAUGCGUAGAGAUGUGGAGGAAUACCGGUGGCGAAGGCGGCCCCUGGACAAAGACUGACGCUCAUGUGCGAAAGCGUGGGGAGCAAACGAGGGAUUAGAUACC
rnacentral:rRNA from 1 species